AAGAUAUUGAAGAAGAGGAUGAGGAAGAAGAGAGUAAGGGAGAGGAUCAAAAAGAAGAUAAAGAGGAUGAAACCCGCCUGAAGAGAAAUCUGAAGAAGAACUACAAGAGAAAGAAUAUGUUCUUACACCAAAAUCAUUAUAUUUUACCUUGUUUUUGUGGUCUUAGCUGUGCUCCAAGUAGCAAGAAUACAAAGUAUUUAAAGAGGAUCUUAAUGAAGAUUUUAAGGAAAUUCUAAAUGAAGGACCAUUUGCAUUUGGAAAUUCUAAGUGAAAGAUUUUAAAGAAAUCCUGAAAAUAGAGGGGGAUGGAGAUGGGAAAGUCAAUUUUUUUCUCCACUCGAGAGUCAAAGAAGGCUUGUUGGGAUCUUGACCACCACAAAGCUUACCCUUGAGAGUCAAGUAUCAUGUAUGUUCAUCUAUGAUUCUUCUAACUAUAGCUCUGCGUUUAACAUGCUCACCCUUCUCAAAAACCUACCGAAUGGCUCGAGGCUCUGCCAAGCCUUAAACGUUAUGUAGACAUAUACAUGUCGUAGAAAUAAGUGAUGUUUUCUUGUAGUGUGUGCACUUUUGGUCUUUGAGUCUUUCAUUCAAGGGCUCCAUAUCUUCAAUAUAUAGCAGUUUCUAUGGCAACUUUUACAAUUU